rnacentral:pre_miRNA from 1 species
UCGUCAUUACACGUGCUCUCUCAUCGGUCAGAAAGGCGAGAAAGUACGUGAAAUGAAGAGG